UGAUAAUGAAAACUAACGUUUGCCAAGUGC
rnacentral:piRNA from 1 species